AUUGAACGCUGGCGGCAGGCUUAACACAUGCAAGUCGAGCGAGCGGCGGACGGGUGAGUAAUGUCUGGGAAACUGCCUGAUGGAGGGGGAUAACUACUGGAAACGGUAGCUAAUACCGCAUACCAUCAGAUGUGCCCAGAUGGGAUUAGCUAGUAGGUGGGGUAAUGGCUCACCUAGGCGAAGAUCCCUAGCUGGUCUGAGAGGAUGCCGCGCCAAACUGGACCUGGGCCAGGGUCAAGCUUCCUACGGGAGGCAGCAUGGGGGAAUAUUGCACAAUGGGCGCAAGCCUGAUGCAGCCAUGCCGCGUGUGUGAAGAAGGCCUUCGGGUUGUAAAGCACUUUCAGCGAGGAGGCGUUACUCGCAGAAGAAGCACCGGCUAACUCCGUGCCAGCAGCCGCGGUAAUAC
rnacentral:rRNA from 1 species